CGAACUUGUGAUAAUAAGAGAGUACAAUGCAAAAUCAAUGUGGAAAAGGAACUGAGGGGCAGCGUCUGAUCUUAGAAGUUGUACAGUGCCUGGGAGAUGCCCACAUGCUUUUCUUGACCUUGUGGAUCCAGAUCAUCACAUCAGGUGCAUCAGGUAUAUCUCAAUAUCACAGUGAGAGUUGUCGGCUACAGGAUCUCCAGAAAAGUCAGCUAUUAUACUUACAAAUCCUGCAGUGAAGAAUUACACGUCUGUUGCUGCACUCAGUGUGUGCCCCAUGGUGCUGGCAGGAAAGAGGGAUACAGAGAAUGGAGGUGUCAGCUGUUUAACAGGCAGACUCCUAAAGGCCAUUUUAAAGAAAAAUCGAUCCCUGUGGGUGUUGUGUGGAAACUCUACAAGCUGUUGCCACUUGAAUAUUAAAUAUUAGUUCUUUUUAAUAUCA